AAAUUAUCCUCAUAAGUUAGACGAAAAGAGGAACCGCACAUUGAUAAAUAAAAUAAAAUUUAUAAGUCAUAAGCGGUGGCACAUAAUCGGAGGCCCCGACUGUUUACUAAAAACACAACACAGUGCAAUCAUUAAUAUGAUAGUAUACUGUGUGAAAUUUGCCCAAUGCCAUAAACAUAAGAUAAUUUAUGUAAAGUAAAUUAUUGAAAGUGUGGUUAAUAGCGGUCUUAACUAUGAGGAUCCUAAGGUAGCAAAAUAAAUUGGCCAUUAAAUGUGGUCGAGUAUCAAUAAUGUAACGAUGGCCUCACUGUCUCUACAACUUGCUCAGUGAAAUUGAAUUACGCGUGCAGAUGCGCGUUGCCUUC
rnacentral:rRNA from 1 species